UUAAAUUGAAGAGUUUGAUCAUGGCUCAGAUUGAACGCUGGCGGCAGGCCUAACACAUGCAAGUCGAACGGUAACAGGAAGCAGCUUGCUGUUUUGCUGACGAGUGGCGGACGGGUGAGUAAUGUCUGGGAAACUGCCUGAUGGAGGGGGAUAACUACUGGAAACGGUAGCUAAUACCGCAUAACGUCGCAAGACCAAAGAGGGGGAC
rnacentral:rRNA from 1 species